rnacentral:rRNA from 1 species
UCGAGGAUCUUCGGCAAUGGGCGCAAGCCUGACCGAGCGACGCCGCGUGCGCGAUGAAGGCCUUCGGGUUGUAAAGCGCUGUCGAGGGGGAGGAAAGCCCGCAAGGGUCUGACCUAUCCCUGGAGGAAGCACGGGCUAAGUUCGUGCCAGCAGCCGCGGUAAGACGAACCGUGCAAACGUUGUUCGGAAUCACUGGGCUUAAAGGGCGCGUAGGCGGGCUCCCAAGUCGGUGGUGAAAUCUUUCGGCCCAACCGGAAAAGUGCCGCCGAUACUGGGAGUCUCGAGGGAGGUAGGGGUCGAUGGAACUUCCGGUGGAGCGGUGAAAUGCGUAGAUAUCGGAAGGAACGCCGGUGGCGAAAGCGAUCGACUGGACCUCUUCUGACGCUGAGGCGCGAAAGCCAGGGGAGCAAACGGGAUUAGAUACCCCCGGUAGUCCCUGGCCCUAAAACGAUGGGUACCAGGAUUGUGGACUGGACAUGGGUUCACAGUCGAGGCAAAAGUGUUAAGUACCCCG